rnacentral:rRNA from 1 species
CCUUCUGGUCACUGCCGUAGGUGGGUGGGUAGGUAUCGAGCGCCGCCGCCAACUGGUACAGCCGUCCCUCGCUCGCGAGCUUGCGCCGGAUGCGCUGCGGCCGCCGCCACGACCGCCUGAAGAGCGCGCCUAGGCCGGGCAGGCAGAGGCCGCCCCGGCGGCCGUCGCAGUCGCCGUCGCCCUGCUCGGUCCGCCUCCCGCCCCGCUCCUCCUUCGGGAGGAAGGCGGAGCGCCGCCUGCUGUGGUUCGGGUAGGAGGCGCUGGGCUAGAGCGCCAGGCUGGGGCACCUCUGGCUCGUCCGGCACGACGCGGACGGCGGGAAGGGGACUGCGGAACUACUACUGCCGUGCCUGGUGUUCGAUCCGCGUACACAUUGAUCACACCAUAUACCUGAACUGGGUAGAUCGGGUUUGGUUAAUAUAGAAUAAUCGGCUCACUUCACCCUCCUCUACGGACGUUGGUACUUAGUAUGUGUCUUCAGGAGGUACCACGGAGACGAUCUACUGCUGGUGAGACGGGACUUCAGGUCGACGCAGUGUCACUGCCGAGACAUAAAAUCCUUGGGUCACCAUCACUUGAUCACCGAUGACUGUAGUACUCACUAGUCCCAACACACCCUACACAGGUUGUUAAUCUGUACGAGAGACGAAAGUCUAAGAACCAGUUCGUACGGUUGAUUCUUUGUCGUAUACAACGGAGAGGGAAGACUAAAACAUGUCUGGCGUCUGGUGACUUAACAAACGAGCUGACGGCAUCGAAACCACGUAAACUAACGUCUUCUUUUAACUUGUUUGUUGUCGUAGUAACACGAAGAUUCAACAUUAACGGUACACACACAUGACAUUCAGAACGACUAGUCACAACCGCAUGACACUGGUAGAGCGUUAAAAAAAUAAUUCUAACUUUAAUAAACGUAUGUUGACCGGCACAAUUUUUUAAUAACACUCCCUUAGUUGUAUGAACGCAUAUAAUAAUAUAUUUAUACUACCUUCUCACCUUUCCUUUAACUAACCGUAAACGUGGAUAGAUCCAGAUCUUGAUCUUGUACGAUUACCCCAGACUAUACCCCAAGCAGUUACCAUGCAUGUGCUUCAACAGUCCACCCAAGUAAAAUAAAAUAUGCUCGACUUUUGACUUAUAUAA